rnacentral:rRNA from 1 species
UACAGAGGGGGCAAGCGUUGUUCGGAAUUACUGGGCGUAAAGGGCGCGUAGGCGGCCCGCUAAGUCGAACGUGAAAUCCCCGAGCUCAACUCGGGAACUGCGUCCGAUACUGGCGGGCUUGAAUCCGGGAGAGGGAUGCGGAAUUCCAGGUGUAGCGGUGAAAUGCGUAGAUAUCGGGAGGAACACCAGUGGCGAAGGCGGCUUCCUGGCCUGUUCUUGACGCUGAGGCGCGAAAGCUAGGGGAGCAAACGGG